UUGGUAAUCAGGUGUUGAGUGUAAGUGCACAAGGGAGCUUGACUGUGAGACCGACGGGUCGAGCAGGGACGAAAGUCGGGACUAGUGAUCCGGCGGUGGCUUGUGGAAGCGCCGUCGCUCAACGGAUAAAAGGUACCCCGGGGAUAACAGGCUGAUCUUCCCCAAGAGUCCAUAUCGACGGGAUGGUUUGGCACCUCGAUGUCGGCUCGUCGCAUCCUGGGGCUGGAGUCGGUCCCAAGGGUUGGGCUGUUCGCCCAUUAAAGCGGUACGCGAGCUGGGUUUAGAACGUCGUGAGACAGUUCGGUCCCUAUCCGCUGUGCGCGUAGGAGUCUUGAGAAGGGCUGUCCCUAGUACGAGAGGACCGGGACGGACGAACCUCUGGUGUGCCAGUUGUCCUGCCAAGGGCAUGGCUGGUUGGCUACGUUCGGGAGGGAUAACCGCUGAAAGCAUCUAAGCGGGAAGCCUGCUUCGAGAUGAGGACUCCCACCCACUUGAUGGGGUAAGGCUCCCAGUAGACGACUGGGUUGAUAGGCCGGAUCUGGAAGCCAGGUAACUGGUGGAGGUGACCGGUACUAAUAGGCCGAGGGCUUGUCCUCAGUUG
rnacentral:rRNA from 1 species